rnacentral:rRNA from 1 species
CCUACGGGUGGCAGCAGUGGGGAAUAUUGCACAAUGGGGGAAACCCUGAUGCAGCGACGCCGCGUGAAGGAAGAAGUAUUUCGGUAUGUAAACUUCUAUCAGCAGGGAAGUAAAUGACGGUACCUGACUAAGAAUCCCCGGCUAACUACGUUCCAGCAGCCGCGGUAAUACGUAGGGGGCCAGCGUUAUCCGGAUGUACUGGGUGUUAAGGGAGCGUAGACGGCGUGGCAAGUCAGAAGUGAAAGCCCGGGGCUCAACUGCGGGACUGCUUUUGAAACUGUAUGGCUAGAUUGCAGGAGAGGCAAGUGGAAUUCGUAGUGUAGCGGUGGAAUGCGUAGAUAUUAGGAGGAACACCAGUGGCGAAGGCGGCUUGCUGGACUGUAAAUGACACUGAGGCUCGAAAGCGUGGGGAGCAAACAGGAUUAGAUACCCCAGUAGUC